rnacentral:rRNA from 1 species
GAUGAACGCGGCGGCGUGCUUAACACAUGCAAGUCGAACGAAGCUGCCCAAAGGAAGUUUUCGGAUGGAAUUUAGGUAGACUUAGUGGCGGACGGGUGAGUAACGCGUGGAUAACCUGCCUUAUACAGGGGGAUAACGGAGAGAAAUUUCCGCUAAGACCGCAUAAGACCACAGCACCGCAUGGUGCAGGGGUAAAAUAUUUAUAGGUAUAAGAUGGAUCCGCGUCCGAUUAGCUUGUUGGUGAGGUAGAGGCUCACCAAGGCGACGAUCGGUAGCCGGCCUGAGAGGGUGAACGGCCACAUUGGGACUGAGACACGGCCCAAACUCCUACGGGAGGCAGCAGUGGGGAAUAUUGGACAAUGGGGGGAACCCUGAUCCAGCGACGCCGCGUGAGUGAAGAAGUAUUUCGGUAUGUAAAGCUCUAUCAGCAGGGAAGAAAAUGACGUACCUGACUAGAG